GGUUAAGCGACUAAGCGUACACGGUGGAUGCCCUGGCAGUCAGAGGCGAUGAAGGACGUGCUAAUCUGCGAUAAGCGUCGGUAAGGUGAUAUGAACCGUUAUAACCGGCGAUUUCCGAAUGGGGAAACCCAGUGUGAUUCGUCACACUAUCAUUAACUGAAUCCAUAGGUUAAUGAGGCGAACCGGGGGAACUGAAACAUCUAAGUACCCCGAGGAAAAGAAAUCAACCGAGAUUCCCCCAGUAGCGGCGAGCGAACGGGGAGCAGCCCAGAGCCUGAAUCAGUGUGUGUGUUAGUGGAAGCGUCUGGAAAGGCGUGCGAUACAGGGUGACAGCCCCGUACACAAAAAUGCACAUACUGUGAGCUCGAUGAGUAGGGCGGGACACGUGGUAUCCUGUCUGAAUAUGGGGGGACCAUCCUCCAAGGCUAAAUACUCCUGACUGACCGAUAGUGAACCAGUACCGUGAGGGAAAGGCGAAAAGAACCCCGGCGAGGGGAGUGAAAAAGAACCUGAAACCGUGUACGUACAAGCAGUGGGAGCACGCUUAGGCGUGUGACUGCGUACCUUUUGUAUAAUGGGUCAGCGACUUAUAUUCUGUAGCAAGGUUAACCGAAUAGGGGAGCCGAAGGGAAACCGAGUCUUAACUGGGCGUUAAGUUGCAGGGUAUAGACCCGAAACCCGGUGAUCUAGCCAUGGGCAGGUUGAAGGUUGGGUAACACUAACUGGAGGACCGAACCGACUAAUGUUGAAAAAUUAGCGGAUGACUUGUGGCUGGGGGUGAAAGGCCAAUCAAACCGGGAGAUAGCUGGUUCUCCCCGAAAGCUAUUUAGGUAGCGCCUCGUGAAUUCAUCUCCGGGGGUAGAGCACUGUUUCGGCAAGGGGGUCAUCCCGACUUACCAACCCGAUGCAAACUGCGAAUACCGGAGAAUGUUAUCACGGGAGACACACGGCGGGUGCUAACGUCCGUCGUGAAGAGGGAAACAACCCAGACCGCCAGCUAAGGUCCCAAAGUCAUGGUUAAGUGGGAAACGAUGUGGGAAGGCCCAGACAGCCAGGAUGUUGGCUUAGAAGCAGCCAUCAUUUAAAGAAAGCGUAAUAGCUCACUGGUCGAGUCGGCCUGCGCGGAAGAUGUAACGGGGCUAAACCAUGCACCGAAGCUGCGGCAGCGACACUAUGUGUUGUUGGGUAGGGGAGCGUUCUGUAAGCCUGUGAAGGUGUACUGUGAGGUAUGCUGGAGGUAUCAGAAGUGCGAAUGCUGACAUAAGUAACGAUAAAGCGGGUGAAAAGCCCGCUCGCCGGAAGACCAAGGGUUCCUGUCCAACGUUAAUCGGGGCAGGGUGAGUCGACCCCUAAGGCGAGGCCGAAAGGCGUAGUCGAUGGGAAACAGGUUAAUAUUCCUGUACUUGGUGUUACUGCGAAGGGGGGACGGAGAAGGCUAUGUUGGCCGGGCGACGGUUGUCCCGGUUUAAGCGUGUAGGCUGGUUUUCCAGGCAAAUCCGGAAAAUCAAGGCUGAGGCGUGAUGACGAGGCACUACGGUGCUGAAGCAACAAAUGCCCUGCUUCCAGGAAAAGCCUCUAAGCAUCAGGUAACAUCAAAUCGUACCCCAAACCGACACAGGUGGUCAGGUAGAGAAUACCAAGGCGCUUGAGAGAACUCGGGUGAAGGAACUAGGCAAAAUGGUGCCGUAACUUCGGGAGAAGGCACGCUGAUAUGUAGGUGAAGUCCCUCGCGGAUGGAGCUGAAAUCAGUCGAAGAUACCAGCUGGCUGCAACUGUUUAUUAAAAACACAGCACUGUGCAAACACGAAAGUGGACGUAUACGGUGUGACGCCUGCCCGGUGCCGGAAGGUUAAUUGAUGGGGUUAGCGCAAGCGAAGCUCUUGAUCGAAGCCCCGGUAAACGGCGGCCGUAACUAUAACGGUCCUAAGGUAGCGAAAUUCCUUGUCGGGUAAGUUCCGACCUGCACGAAUGGCGUAAUGAUGGCCAGGCUGUCUCCACCCGAGACUCAGUGAAAUUGAACUCGCUGUGAAGAUGCAGUGUACCCGCGGCAAGACGGAAAGACCCCGUGAACCUUUACUAUAGCUUGACACUGAACAUUGAGCCUUGAUGUGUAGGAUAGGUGGGAGGCUUUGAAGUGUGGACGCCAGUCUGCAUGGAGCCGACCUUGAAAUACCACCCUUUAAUGUUUGAUGUUCUAACGUUGACCCGUAAUCCGGGUUGCGGACAGUGUCUGGUGGGUAGUUUGACUGGGGCGGUCUCCUCCUAAAGAGUAACGGAGGAGCACGAAGGUUGGCUAAUCCUGGUCGGACAUCAGGAGGUUAGUGCAAUGGCAUAAGCCAGCUUGACUGCGAGCGUGACGGCGCGAGCAGGUGCGAAAGCAGGUCAUAGUGAUCCGGUGGUUCUGAAUGGAAGGGCCAUCGCUCAACGGAUAAAAGGUACUCCGGGGAUAACAGGCUGAUACCGCCCAAGAGUUCAUAUCGACGGCGGUGUUUGGCACCUCGAUGUCGGCUCAUCACAUCCUGGGGCUGAAGUAGGUCCCAAGGGUAUGGCUGUUCGCCAUUUAAAGUGGUACGCGAGCUGGGUUUAGAACGUCGUGAGACAGUUCGGUCCCUAUCUGCCGUGGGCGCUGGAGAACUGAGGGGGGCUGCUCCUAGUACGAGAGGACCGGAGUGGACGCAUCACUGGUGUUCGGGUUGUCAUGCCAAUGGCACUGCCCGGUAGCUAAAUGCGGAAGAGAUAAGUGCUGAAAGCAUCUAAGCACGAAACUUGCCCCGAGAUGAGUUCUCCCUGACUCCUUGAGAGUCCUGAAGGAACGUUGAAGACGACGACGUUGAUAGGCCGGGUGUGUAAGCGCAGCGAUGCGUUGAGCUAACCGGUACUAAUGAACCGUGAGGCUUAACCUU
rnacentral:rRNA from 1 species